rnacentral:sRNA from 12 species
UGCCGCUCGGCAAAAAUUAACCGAAAAAGAGGCAUGGGUUAGUAGCAAGUCGAAAACUCGUGAGGUUUAGUAAGAG